rnacentral:rRNA from 1 species
UACAGAGGUCUCAAGCGUUGUUCGGAUUCAUUGGGCGUAAAGGGUGCGUAGGCGGCGCGGUAAGUCGGGUGUGAAAUCUCGGAGCUUAACUCCGAAACUGCAUUUGAUACUGUGGUGCUUGAGGACUGGAGAGGAGACUGGAAUUCACGGUGUAGCAGUGAAAUGCGUAGAGAUCGUGAGGAAGACCAGUGGCGAAGGCGGGUCUCUGGGACGGUACUGACGCUGAGACGCGGAAAGCGUGGGGAGCAAACAGG